CCUANGGGGGGCAGCAGUAGGGAAUAUUGGUUAAUGUGCGAAAGCGCGAACCAGCAACGCCGCGUGUGCGAUGAAGGCCUUCGGGUUGUAAAGCACUUUUUGAGGGAAAGAGGAAGGACGGUACCUUCAGAAUAAGCCUCGGCUAACUACGUGCCAGCAGCCGCGGUAAAACGUAGGAGGCGAGCGUUAUCCGGAUUUACUGGGUGUAAAGCGCGUGCAGGCGGUUCGGAAAGUUGGAUGUGAAAGCUCCCGGCUUAACUGGGAGAGGUCGUUCAAUACUUCCGGACUAGAGGAUGAGAGAGGGAGGUGGAAUUCCGUGUGUAGUGGUGAAAUGCGUAGAUAUACGGAGGAACACCUGUGGCGAAAGCGACCUCCUGGCUCAUUACUGACGCUCAGACGCGAAAGCUAGGGUAGCAAACGGGAUUAGAUACCCUUNUANUC
rnacentral:rRNA from 1 species